UCUCCGUUGGUGAACCAGCGGAGGGAUCAUUACAGGACUCGCAAGACUCCUUACACCCUGUGAACCUUACUGUAUACGCGUUGCUUCGGCGGGUCCGCCCGCCGGCAGCAUACCUCAUUCUGUUUCUCUGCGUUGGCAUCUCGAGAAAAAAGCAAAUAAGUUAAAACUUUCAACAACGGAUCUCUUGGUUCUG
rnacentral:misc_RNA from 1 species